rnacentral:rRNA from 1 species
GGGCCCGCACAAGCGGUGGAGCAUGUGGCUUAAUUCGAUGCAACGCGAAGAACCUUACCAGGCCUUGACAUGCACUGGACCGACGCUGAAAGGUGUCCUUCCCGCAAGGGACCGGUGCACAGGUGCUGCAUGGCUGUCGUCAGCUCGUGUCGUGAGAUGUUGCGUUAAGUCGCGCAACGAGCGCAACCCCUGUCCUUAGUUGCCACCAUUAAGUUGGGCACUCUAGGGAGACAAACCCUCUAUGAGGGUGGGAAGGUGGGGAUGACGUCAAGUCAGGAUGGCCCUUACGGCCUGGGCUGCACACGUGCUACAAUGCUCGGUACAGAGGGAAGCAAUACCGCAAGGUGGAGCAAAUCCUCAAAACCGAGCCCAGUUCAGAUUGCAGUCUGCAACUCGACUGCAUGAAGCCGGAAUCGCUAGUAAUGGCGUAUCAGCUACGACGCCGUGAAUACGUUCCCGGGCCUU